rnacentral:rRNA from 1 species
UACGUAGGGUGCAAGCGUUGUCCGGAAUUAUUGGGCGUAAAGAGCUCGUAGGCGGUCUGUCGCGUCUGCUGUGAAAACUCAGGGCUUAACCCUGAGCUUGCAGUGGGUACGGGCAGACUAGAGUGCGGUAGGGGAGACUGGAAUUCCUGGUGUAGCGGUGAAAUGCGCAGAUAUCAGGAGGAACACCGGUGGCGAAGGCGGGUCUCUGGGCCGUAACUGGACGCUGGAGGAGCGAAAGCAUCGGGGAGCGAACAGG